rnacentral:rRNA from 1 species
GACGAACGCUGGCGGCGUGCUUAACACAUGCAAGUCGAACGAUGAAGCUGGAGCUUGCUCUAGCGGAUUAGUGGCGAACGGGUGAGUAACACGUGAGCAAUCUGCCCUUGACUCUGGGAUAACUGCGGGAAACUGUAGCUAAUACCGGAUACUUUCACCGGGGGGCAUCCUCUGGUGAUGAAAGAAUUUCGGUCAAGGAUGAGCUCGCGGCCUAUCAGCUUGUUGGUGAGGUAACGGCUCACCAAGGCGACGACGGGUAACCGGCCUGAGAGGGUGACCGGUCACACUGAGACUGAGACACGGCCCAGACUCCUACGGGAGGCAGCAGUGGGGAAUAUUGCACAAUGAGCGCAAGCCUGAUGCAGCAACGCCGCGUGAGGGAUGACGGCCUUCGGGUUGUAAACCUCUUAUAGUAGGGAAGAAGCGAAAGUGACGGUACCUGCAGAAAAAGCACCGGCUAACUACGUGCCAGCCGCCGCGGUAA